UACGUAGGGGGCUAGCGUUGUCCGGAAUCAUUGGGCGUAAAGCGCGUGUAGGCGGUCCGGUAAGUCCGCUGUGAAAGUCGGGGGCUCAACCCUCGAAUGCCGGUGGAUACUGUCGGGCUAGAGUGCGGAAGAGGCGAGUGGAAUCCUGGUGUAGCGGUGAAAUGCGUAGAUAUCUGGAGGAACACCGGUGGCGAAGGCGGCAUCCUGGACCAACACUGACACUGAGGAGCGAAAGCCAGGGGAGCAAACGGGAGUUAGAAUACC
rnacentral:rRNA from 1 species